CCUACGGGCGGCACCAGUGGGGAAUAUUGCACAAUGGGCGCAAGCCUGAUGCAGCCAUGCCGCGUGUAUGAAGAAGGCCUUCUGGUUGUAAAGUACUUUCAGCGGUGAGGAAGGCGAUAAGGUUAAUAACCUUGUCGAUUGACGUUACCCGCAGAAGAAGCACCGGCUAACUCCGUGCCAGCAGCCGCGGUAAUACGGAGGGUGCAAGCGUUAAUCGGAAUUACUGGGCGAAAAGCGCACGCAGGCGGUCUGUCAAGUCGGAUGUGAAAUCCCCGGGCUCAACCUGGGAACUGCAUUCGAAACUGGCAGGCUGGAGUCUUGUAGAGGGGGGUAGAAUUCCAGGUGUAGCGGUGAAAUGCGUAGAGAUCUGGAGGAAUACCGGUGGCGAAGGCGGCCCCCUGGACAAAGACUGCCGCUCAGGUGCGAAAGCGUGGGGAGCAAACAGGAUUAGAUACCCGCGUAGUC
rnacentral:rRNA from 1 species